GACGAACGCUGGCGGCGUGCUUAACACAUGCAAGUCGAACGGUGAAGCGCCUUCCUUCUUGGUGGGUGUGGAUGAGUGGCGAACGGGUGAGUAACGCGUGAGUAACCUGCCCCCUUCUUCUGGAUAACCGCAUGAAAGUGUGGCUAAUACGGGAUAUUCUGGGUCUGUCGCAUGAUGGGUCUGGGAAAGAUAUUGUUUCGGUGGGGGAUGGGCUCGCGGCCUAUCAGCUUGUUGGUGGGGUGAUGGCCUACCAAGGCGGUGACGGGUAGCCGGCCUGAGAGGGUGGACGGUCACACUGGGACUGAGACACGGCCCAGACUCCUACGGGAGGCAGCAGUGGGGAAUAUUGCACAAUGGGCGCAAGCCUGAUGCAGCGACGCCGCGUGAGGGAUGGAGGCCUUCGGGUUGUGAACCUCUUUCGCCAGUGAAGCAGGCCUGCCUCGUUUGUGGGUGGGUUGACGGUAGCUGGAUAAGAAGCGCCGGCUAACUACGUG
rnacentral:rRNA from 1 species